rnacentral:rRNA from 1 species
ACUUUCAGCAACGGAUUGUCUUUGGCUCCUACAACGAUGAAGAACGCAGCGAAAUGCGAUACGUAAUGCGAAUUGCAGAGUCUUAGUGGAAUCAUCAAAAUUUUGGAACGCACAUUGCCGCUUCCCUUCCCCGGGAGCAUGUCUU